rnacentral:rRNA from 1 species
AAACCGUUUAGGGGUAAACCUGAGAAACCCGAAAGGUCGAAGGGAGAAAUUCAUUCGCGUUUCGCCGUUGGCGUGAGACGGUCGUGUGACGGAAAACGUUCGCGUUUUCCGCACCUUUCGUUUUUCGAUCCGAUAGCGAACGCGUGCACUUUUCUCCUGGUAGGACGUCGCGAUCCGUUGGGUGUCGGUCUACGGCUCGCGGUGGAGCCCGGAUGUACGGCUUGCCGUCACGUCCGGACCCGCGUGUCCCGGCUGACUCGCUCGACGGUAUACGAAAGGUUUAAGGCCGCUCUUAGAGCGUUCGGCUCGUCGCAAGCGCGUCAGAUGUGUCGGUGAUCGGACCUAGUGCCGGUUCUGACCUCUGGCGACUGUUGGCGGCGAAGUUCUCGAACAGACCUUCGACCGAUCUGCGACGCUAUAGCUUUGGGUACUUUCAGGACCCGUCUUGAAACACGGACCAAGGAGUCUAGCAUGUGCGCAAGUCAUUGGGAAUCACUAAACCUAAAGGCGCAAUGAAAGUAAAAGUCCGCCUUGCGCGGACUGAGGGAAGACGAGCGGUUUACCCUUAAAAGUGGCCGCUCCGCAUUCCCGGGGCGUCUCAUUCUCAUCGCGAGAAGAGGCGCACCAUGAGCGUACACGCUGGGACCCGAAAGAUGGUGAACUAUGCCUGGUCAGGACGAAGUCAGGGGAAACCCUGAUGGAGGUCCGUAGCGAUUCUGACGUGCAAAUCGAUCGUCGGAACUGG